UUGUUUCUCUGUGUCACUAAUUUGUCUUUCACACCUUCUUGUAUAACUCAGCUGAAUGAAACAAGUUCACGUCAGUCCUCUCAGGGCAGCUAAGGCCCUCAUAGUAAAUCUGUAAGAAGUAGUUGAGGCAAGUUGAGGGAGGUGUGUGGACUAAAAAUAACUCCUGUAAUUCAUUAAUUGUGCAGAUAAUUAAUAGACACAAUUAUAUUUUAAUAUAUUGCACAGGAACAUUUCCAGCAUACAGAACACAUUAUACAGUGAAAGCUUCCCGACAUGCUACAACCUAAUUGUGACACCCCACAGGCUGAACGAGGCUCCCAAAUUCAUCACCCUGCUUCUAAUGAAACCUGCAGCGAAGUCACACACAGCUGCCGAGGAGGACGGCGACGAACUCGCUCACACCAGUGGGAGAUAACCAAGGACACUCCGCAGUGAUAGAGAAGAGAGACUGUGGAUCUGUAGGUCUGUAGGUAACAUCUGCAGAUACUGUCAGCCUGCAUACAUGCUUCCUAAACCAGAAUGUCAUGGCAGAUUCUACUGUCUGUGGUGCAAGAGGUAAAACUAAAAAAAAAAGUCCAUUAAACACUUCAUGCUUUGAUCAGCUACUCUCUCUUGUCUGGAUUUUGGCAGCUUGACAAUUAAAAGACACUUUAUAGUGAAUUUUUAUUGAGUAAAUCAGCAGAAGUAGGUGAAUAAAAAAAAAAGGAUUAUGCAAAAGGAGGAGAGUAUGUUCACUCAUCCUUCAAGGGAAUUACCCCCUUGACUGUAGAGUCUUGAUAUACAAAAAAAAAAAAAAAAAAAGAUAAACAGCAUUGGCAAUGCAUGAGCAACAGGAAAUGAUUAGGCAAAUGCUGCAGGACUUAAAUAAAUGAUAUAAUAACAAAUGCAGCUUGUUAAAGUGCGUUUCAAGGAGUUGUCAGUUAUGUUUGCACACUGAAGUGAAACUGCCUGCGCCCAUGCGAGCGUGACAUGCUACACUGGGUGUGUCUACCUCUGCUGACUGAGACUUUACUUUCCUAUUCAAAUCACACACAUCGGAGAUAA